AAUCUGCAAAUUGAAUUUCUGCUACAGCUCGAUUGUCCAUUGCAGCAAGACCAAUCGCAAAUCCAACUAUGCCCUGCUCACACAGAGGAGUGUUAAAGACCCUCUGUUUACCAAAUCGGUCAGCUAGCCCAGUAGUGCAACGAAAGACACCACCAAAACCAACAUCUUCUCCAAAUACAUAAGAACGAGGAUCAGAGUCUAAAGCGAUGUGAAGAGCUUGAUUAAUAGCAGAGAAAAGGUUGACAGAUUUGGUGGAAGUGUCAUUUUUGUUAACUGUUGAGGAAAAUCCCAUACAACUUUGAUUUUUGGAUGAAAUUGCAGCCAAUUUCCCAAUUCUUCUGAAAUUGCUACCCAUUUUCUUUGAACUUUCUCUCAAGAAUGUUGGAAUCUGAACAAGAGAAGCACAAUUGAGAUUCAAA
rnacentral:misc_RNA from 1 species